GAGGGGAACAACAGCUGGAAACGGCCGCUAAUACCCCAUAGGCUGAGGAGCAAAAGGAGGAAUCCGCCCAAGGAGGGGCUCGCGUCUGAUUAGUUAGUUGGUGAGGCAAUGGCUUACCAAGGCGACGAUCAGUAGCUGGUCCGAGAGGAUGAUCAGCCACACUGGGACUGAGACACGGCCCAGACUCCUACGGGAGGCAGCAGUGGGGAAUUUUCCGCAAUGGGCGAAAGCCUGACGGAGCAAUGCCGCGUGAAGGCAGAAGGCCCACGGGGUCAUGAACUUCUUUUCUCGGAGA
rnacentral:rRNA from 1 species